UUUCUACUCCCUCCGUCCGAAAAUACUUGUCACCAAAAUGGAUAAAAAGAGAUGUAUCUAAAACUAAAAUACGUCUAGAUACAUUUCCUUUUAUCCAUUUUGAUGACAAGUAUUUCCGGACGGAGGGAGUAUUUG
rnacentral:pre_miRNA from 1 species